rnacentral:rRNA from 1 species
AAAGGAAUAGACGGGGACCCGCACAAGCGGUGGAGCGUGUUGUUUAAUUCGAUGGUAAGCGAAGAACCUUACCCAGACUUGACUUCCUUGUCGUCGAUCUUCGAAAGAAGAUUUUCAUUUAGUUGGACAAGUGACAGGUGUUGCAUGGCCGUCGUCAGCUCGUGUCGUGAGAUGUUAGGUUAAGUCCUUCAACGAGCGCAACCCUUGUAAGUAGUUGAAUUUUUCUACUUAGACUGCCCUGGCAACAGGGAGGAAGGAGGGGAUGAUGUCAGGUCAGUAUUACCCUUACGUCUGGGGCUACAAACACGCUACAAUGGCCGGUACAAAGGGCAGCCAACCCGCGAGGGGGAGCAAAUCCUAUCAAAGCCGGUCUCAGUUCGGAUAGCAGGCUGAAACUCGCCUGCUUGAAGCUGGAAUCGCUAGUAACGGUAAGUCAGCACAUUACCGUGAAUACGUUCCCGGGUCUUGUACACACCGCCCGU